AAAGAACCCCGGCGAGGGGAGUGAAAAAGAACCUGAAACCGUGUACGUACAAGCAGUGGGAGCCUCUUUAUGGGGUGACUGCGUACCUUUUGUAUAAUGGGUCAGCGACUUAUAUUCUGUAGCAAGGUUAACCGAAUAGGGGAGCCGAAGGGAAACCGAGUCUUAACUGGGCGUUAAGUUGCAGGGUAUAGACCCGAAACCCGGUGAUCUAGCCAUGGGCAGGUUGAAGGUUGGGUAACACUAACUGGAGGACCGAACCGACUAAUGUUGAAAAAUUAGCGGAUGACUUGUGGCUGGGGGUGAAAGGCCAAUCAAACCGGGAGAUAGCUGGUUCUCCCCGAAAGCUAUUUAGGUAGCGCCUCGUGAAUUCAUCUCCGGGGGUAGAGCACUGUUUCGGCAAGGGGGUCAUCCCGACUUACCAACCCGAUGCAAACUGCGAAUACCGGAGAAUGUUAUCACGGGAGACACACGGCGGGUGCUAACGUCCGUCGUGAAGAGGGAAACAACCCAGACCGCCAGCUAAGGUCCCAAAGUCAUGGUUAAGUGGGAAACGAUGUGGGAAGGCCCAGACAGCCAGGAUGUUGGCUUAGAAGCAGCCAUCAUUUAAAGAAAGCGUAAUAGCUCACUGGUCGAGUCGGCCUGCGCGGAAGAUGUAACGGGGCUAAACCAUGCACCGAAGCUGCGGCAGCGACGCUUAUGCGUUGUUGGGUAGGGGAGCGUUCUGUAAGCCUGUGAAGGUGUGCUGUGAGGCAUGCUGGAGGUAUCAGAAGUGCGAAUGCUGACAUAAGUAACGAUAAAGCGGGUGAAAAGCCCGCUCGCCGGAAGACCAAGGGUUCCUGUCCAACGUUAAUCGGGGCAGGGUGAGUCGACCCCUAAGGCGAGGCCGAAAGGCGUAGUCGAUGGGAAACAGGUUAAUAUUCCUGUACUUGGUGUUACUGCGAAGGGGGGACGGAGAAGGCUAUGUUGGCCGGGCGACGGUUGUCCCGGUUUAAGCGUGUAGGCUGGUUUUCCAGGCAAAUCCGGAAAACCAAGGCUGAGGCGUGAUGACGAGGCACUACGGUGCUGAAGCGACAAAUGCCCUGCUUCCAGGAAAAGCCUCUAAGCAUCAGGUAACAUCAAAUCGUACCCCAAACCGACACAGGUGGUCAGGUAGAGAAUACCAAGGCGCUUGAGAGAACUCGGGUGAAGGAACUAGGCAAAAUGGUGCCGUAACUUCGGGAGAAGGCACGCUGAUAUGUAGGUGAAGCGACUUGCUCGUGGAGCUGAAAUCAGUCGAAGAUACCAGCUGGCUGCAACUGUUUAUUAAAAACACAGCACUGUGCAAACACGAAAGUGGACGUAUACGGUGUGACGCCUGCCCGGUGCCGGAAGGUUAAUUGAUGGGGUUAGCGGCAACGCGAAGCUCUUGAUCGAAGCCCCGGUAAACGGCGGCCGUAACUAUAACGGUCCUAAGGUAGCGAAAUUCCUUGUCGGGUAAGUUCCGACCUGCACGAAUGGCGUAAUGAUGGCCAGGCUGUCUCCACCCGAGACUCAGUGAAAUUGAACUCGCUGUGAAGAUGCAGUGUACCCGCGGCAAGACGGAAAGACCCCGUGAACCUUUACUAUAGCUUGACACUGAACAUUGAGCCUUGAUGUGUAGGAUAGGUGGGAGGCUUUGAAGUGUGGACGCCAGUCUGCAUGGAGCCGACCUUGAAAUACCACCCUUUAAUGUUUGAUGUUCUAACGUUGGCCCGUAAUCCGGGUUGCGGACAGUGUCUGGUGGGUAGUUUGACUGGGGCGGUCUCCUCCUAAAGAGUAACGGAGGAGCACGAAGGUUGGCUAAUCCUGGUCGGACAUCAGGAGGUUAGUGCAAUGGCAUAAGCCAGCUUGACUGCGAGCGUGACGGCGCGAGCAGGUGCGAAAGCAGGUCAUAGUGAUCCGGUGGUUCUGAAUGGAAGGGCCAUCGCUCAACGGAUAAAAGGUACUCCGGGGAUAACAGGCUGAUACCGCCCAAGAGUUCAUAUCGACGGCGGUGUUUGGCACCUCGAUGUCGGCUCAUCACAUCCUGGGGCUGAAGUAGGUCCCAAGGGUAUGGCUGUUCGCCAUUUAAAGUGGUACGCGAGCUGGGUUUAGAACGUCGUGAGACAGUUCGGUCCCUAUCUGCCGUGGGCGCUGGAGAACUGAGGGGGGCUGCUCCUAGUACGAGAGGACCGGAGUGGACGCAUCACUGGUGUUCGGGUUGUCAUGCCAAUGGCACUGCCCGGUAGCUAAAUGCGGAAGAGAUAAGUGCUGAAAGCAUCUAAGCACGAAACUUGCCCCGAGAUGAGUUCUCCCUGACUCCUUGAGGGUCCUGAAGGAACGUUGAAGACGACGACGUUGAUAGGCUGGGUGUGUAAGCGCAGCGAUGCGUUGAGCUAACCGGUACUAAUGAACCGUGAGGCUUAACCUU
rnacentral:rRNA from 1 species